GGAAAAUCUAUCAAUUGAGAGAAUCCAGUAGCUGCGCUAUCAACAUCCACAAAUGGCGACUGUGGAUAUUUUUCAGAGUGUCUUUUGUCCAGAAUUACUCUCGGAAAAUGGACAAAAAUGAAAAAUUUACCAACGUGAAAAAUGCUUCUCUAUAGUCAGCACGUAAAACUUUUCUUGUUAUCAGUCAGUUAAUAUUUUCGUAAAGUUAUUUUUCAAUUGAGGUUAAUUUGAAAGCUUAACUCCUUCAGCCAAUUAAAAAAGUGGCUUUAAAAAUAAUGUGUUUUGUGCUACAAAUGGAAAAUCUACACGUGGUACAAAAGGUAAAUUGAGUUGAUCUUCUCUGACAUGAUUCCACCCCUGCUGAAAGUUUCAAAAGGACGAUAAAGAGAAGUUCACUCACCCGUGACUGUGAUGUAGUGAGGGCCAGAAUCAUUCGGACUAUGCGUCUGCACGACAGCCACCUGGGCAGUCACUUGCUGAGCCCCAGGAGCAACCACAGCUGUCCCAUUCGUGGACUCAACAGCAUCAGCCGCCACCACAGUGAUAGGCGACUCAUUGCUUGAAUCCGAAUGCUCCAGCGGAACGACAUCGAUCACGGAAACUCCGCCAGGUGUUGUUGUUGUUUGCAGGAUAAUUUUCUAGAGAAAAAUAUAACAAAAAAAAAUACCAUGGAGGACUGUCUCUUUUUUUUUGUCCUCCCUGAAAACCAGGAGAAUUUUUACCGCAUCCUCACCUGAGGUAAAACCUGAUGGAGGGCAAUUGGGAUGGUUGUACCAUUUGUUCCUGGACUCGUGGCAGCGGAUGUCACCGCAAUGGCAUUUUCGCCAUUGGAUGAGGAGGGAGAUGUCAUUGUCACAGUUUGAGAUGCAGGAGACACAUUGCCUCCCUGACUAGAAACCGACGUUACUGCCACAAAAUUCCUCUGAGUUGCCAAUCUUGCAGCCAUAGUCUCAAAAAUUUAUUUAUACUCUUCAUACAGCCUCAAAGCACAGAGUUUUAAAAAAUGUAAUUUUUGUCUUGUAAGUCCUUUUUAAAAAUUUGCCGCAUUGUUUUUCUAUUUUAUUUUAUUUAAAUGCCGAGUAUUUCAAUUGAAUUUCCUUCAUUCUUCACUGAUUCAGCAAUUCAAGGACGUUUCCAUGCAAAUCAGUGAAAAUUCUGCAAAAAGGAAAGCAACAAAGAUAUUGUUUCACCUUUCUUUUAAUGCCUGAAAAUAUUAUUUACUUUCAAUCAAAGGGACAUUUUUAUUUAAAUUCGUCUUAACCCUUAAGCGCAGAGGGGAAUUUUUAUAAGAAAAUUGUAUUGUAAUGAGAAAAUAAAGUAAAGGCAGAUCAAUUGAAAAUCGAUAGACUGCCCUCUAACUAAUCUUUCACUAAAAACUUGCAAAAAAAAAAUAAAUUGUCAAAAUUUCAAUGGAGAUUUGAUAUCGAUGUAGUUUAGGUGCGACACCAAAAACCGAAUAAAUCUACAAAAACUUCUAUUGGAACAUUUUCAACGAUGUAGAAUAUGUUCUAUAAAAAUUACCAAUAUGUUUUCCAAUU